rnacentral:rRNA from 1 species
UUUGAUCCUGGCUCAGGACGAACGCUGGCGGCGUGCCUAAUACAUGCAAGUCGAACGAACUCUGGUAUUGAUUGGUGCUUGCAUCAUGAUUUACAUUUGAGUGAGUGGCGAACUGGUGAGUAACACGUGGGAAACCUCCCCAGAAGCGGGGGAUAACCACCUGAAAACAGAUGCUAAUACCGCAUAACAACUUGGACCGCAUGGUCCGAGCUUGAAAGAUGGCUUCGGCUAUCACUUUUGGAUGGUCCCGCGGCGUAUUAGCUAGAUGGUGGGGUAACGGCUCACCAUGGCAAUGAUACGUAGCCGACCUGAGAGGGUAAUCGGCCACAUUGGGACUGCAGACACGGCCCAAACUCCUACGGGAGGCAGCAGUAGGAAAUCUUCCACAAUGGACGAAAGUCUGAUGGAGCAACGCCGCGUGAGUGAAGAAGGGUUUCGGCUCGUAAAACUCUGUUGUUAAAGAAGAACAUAUCUGAGAGUAACUGUUCAGGUAUUGACGGUAUUUAACCAGAAAGCCACGGCUAACUACGUGCCAGCAGCCGCGGUAAUACGUAGGUGGCAAGCGUUGUCCGGAUUUAUUGGGCGUAAAGCGAGCGCAGGCGGUUUUUUAAGUCUGAUGUGAAAGCCUUCGGCUCAACCGAAGAAGUGCAUCGGAAACUGGGAAACUUGAGUGCAGAAGAGGACAGUGGAACUCCAUGUGUAGCGGUGAAAUGCGUAGAUAUAUGGAAGAACACCAGUGGCGAAGGCGGCUGUCUGGUCUGUAACAGACGCUGAGGCUCGGAAAGUAUGGGUAAAAACCAAGAAUAAAUACCCUGGUAAACCCCAUACCGGAAAAGAAGAAAAAAUAAAGUGUUGGAGGGUUUCCCCCCCUUCAGUGCUGCAACAAACCCCAUAAAGCAUUCCGCCUGGGGAAGUACGCCCCCCAAGGCUGAAAACUCAAAAGAAUUGACGGGGGCCCGCACAAGCGGUGGAGCAUGUGGUUAAAUUAGAAGCUACGCGAAGAACCUUACCAGGUCUUGACAUACUAUGCAAAUCUAAGAGAUUAGACGUUCCCUUCGGGGACAUGAAUACAGGUGGUGGCAUGGUUGUCGUCAGCUCGUGUCGAAAGAUGUUGGGUUAAGUCCCGCAACGAGCGCAACCCUUAUUAUCAGUUGCCAGCAUUAAGUUGGGCACUCUGGUGAGACUGCCGGUGACAAACCGGAGGAAGGUGGGGAUGACGUCAAAUCAUCAUGCCCUUUAUGACCUGGGCUACACACGUGCUACAAUGGAUGGUACAACGAGUUGCGAACUCGCGAGAGUAAGCUAAUCUCUUAAAGCCAUUCUCAGUUCGGAUUGUAGGCUGCAACUCGCCUACAUGAAGUCGGAAUCGCUAGUAAUCGCGGAUCAGCAUGCCGCGGUGAAUACGUUCCCGGGCCUUGUACACACCGCCCGUCACACCAUGAGAGUUUGUAACACCCAAAGUCGGUGGGGUAACCUUUUAGGAACCAGCCGCCUAAGGUGGGACAGAUGAUUAGGAGAAGUCGUA